UGAAAUGAUCGUAUAUGAUAAUCCCCAAAUAAAUACUUCCAAACCAUAGAGAAAUAACCACUGUAUUUUUAAAAAUCUUAUUCCUACCCUUCUUUGCAUGUUACUGAUUUUUUUAAUAAGUUAUAAAUAUAUGUUGUGAUGUAUUAAAAAUCUACAGGAAAAACUGCUUAAAAUGUUUUAGGGCAAUAAGAAUUUUUAUUACUGUUUCCUGAAGAAUUAGUUGUUUGUUUGGUUGUUUUUAACUAAUUUCUUUAUCUUAUCAGAAAGAACUUUUAACGGUUCAGCAAAAUAUUUUAGGGCUUUGUGUUCAUGGCUUUUUAUAGUUAUCUGGGUACAUUCCUUUUGCCACAUAGACCAUAUGGCUAGUUCUCCAACCGUUUUUUGUUUUUAAUAAACCUUGCUGUUCAACAAUCAGAGUCUUCUAUUUUGGAGGCUUCUCCCAGUUGAGGUAGAAAGGUCUUAGAUAAUAGGAAAGGCAGAUACAACGUCCUAACAUUUUCAUAGUAGAGUUUACAAGUAGAUAAAUAGGUUAUCUUCAUUGUGUAGCACCAGUACAAAUAGUAAUUUCAUUAAUCAUGGAAUCAGAUAAAGCAGUUAUAAAUAAUUUUAUACUUUGCUCUAAAGAUUAUUGUUAUUUCAGGCCACGUUAUUAUUUUCUCUCAGCAAUUUCCACUGUAAGGUUGAAUAUCCUUUUUCUUUAUUCACAUCAUCACUAAAGGUUAAGAUAAUCAAAUAAGAGUUAAAAUAAGUUAUGUUUGAUCUUUUUCCCUGAAAAUAAUGGUGAACCUAUUGUCUAUAUUAUGGAUAUUAGGCAGAAAUGCACUUGUUUCAAUCAUAGCAGAAAUUACAUUUGCAGAAUAUAAUUACUUGAUUUUCUAGUGGUGUGAAAUACUUAAAAAAUUGUGCUCGUCUGUAACUGAAAUGUUAUAGAAUUGUAACACUAUAGGGAUUAUAGAGUUAUAUUUAUUAGCUCUCCUCAAGAGAUUGAAGCACAAUAAUUUUCAUGUAACAGUUCUUAUCCAAGUGCUGCUAAUCUGUCGUGCAAAUAUGAAGCUAAUUGGUUGCCUAUCUAGCUAUUCACAAAUCACUGUAAUCCUUGAGACAUAGUCUUGUUGCUCAUUUGUAUUAAAUUUUGGGUGUUGUGGGUUAAUACUUUAGAACAAAAUCCAUCAACUCAGCUCUGUGAGACAGCAAAACAUUUGGAUUCAUUAGUUUUAUAUGUGUUAUCAGUAGAAUAAAUUUUGAAGGGGCUAUUUACUACCAGUGACUAAGGGGGAAACUUAUAUUGUCAACAUCAUUUGACUUGAACUUUUGUGGUAUUGUAAAAGUCUUGUCUGUUGUGUUUCUAAAUUGCUUAAGCCAUACAUACUUUUAAGGGUGUUUUCCCGUUUUCUUCCUUUUCAGCAGCCUUUUACUGCUUUGUCUGUUAUGGUUAAUAUUUCAUAGAUUUUAGAAAUUGAGAAGUUAUUGAAACAUUUUAUUUUCUUGAGUUCAUCACUUUUGACUCUUGUAUGAUAUGUGAUUUGUCAUAAAGGAUAGCAAGCCUUUUCACUAACUAUUUCACUAAAAAUUUCAGAGUAAACACUGUGAUUCUGCAGAGAGACUCAGUAGGCCCUUGUCUUUCCAAUGUUUUCUUCUGUUAUAUGGUGCCUGCCACCUUGAGGGCACUUAGAUACUAGAGGCUGGAAAGUUAAAUGUUGUUUUGAUGUUUAUUGAAUAACAAGAUUACAGAAUAUAUGAUUUUUGUUGUCAAUGUAUGGAAGACAUUUUUGCAUUGAUAAAUGUUCUCUAGGAAUGUGACUACAUUCAUCAGGUGUGAACUCUUGUAAAUGAAUUUUGUAUCUUGAAUCUACGUAUAUAUUAAGUGUAUCAUCAAUAUAAAAAUAAACAUUAUUUGCUUAAAGUUUUUGG
rnacentral:lncRNA from 1 species